GAUGAACGCUAGCGGCAGGCCUAAUACAUGCAAGUCGAACGGUGUAGCAAUACACAGUGGCGCACGGGUGCGUAACACGUAUGCAACCUACCUUACAUUGGGGAUAGCCUUUCGAAAGGGAGAUUAAUACCGCAUAAGACAGUAACUAGGCAUCUAGUAGCUGUUAAAGAUUUAUCGAUGUAAGCUGGGCAUGCGUCCAAUUAGUUAGUUGGCGAGGUAAUGGCUCACCAAGACGAUGAUUGGUAGGGGAACUGAGAGGUCAAUCCCCCACACUGACACUGUGAAACGGGCCAGACUCCCACGGGGGGAAGCAGGAGGAAAAAUUGGGCAAUGGGCACAAGCCUAACCAAGCCAGGCCGCGUGAAGGAAGAGGGGUUUAGGCGUUGUAACCUGCUUUUAUACAGGAAAAAACGACCCUUGCGAGGGGCAUUGACGGUACUGUAUGAAUAAGCACCGGCUACCUCCGUGCCAGCAGCCGCGGUAAGAC
rnacentral:rRNA from 1 species